UGGGGAAUAUUGGACAAUGGGCGCAAGCCUGAUCCAGCCAUGCCGCGUGUGUGAAGAAGUCCUUUUGGUUGUAAAGCACUUUAAGCGAGGAGGAGGCUACUUGGAUUAAUACUCUAUGAUAGUGGACGUUACUCGCAGAAUAAGCACCGGCUAACUCUGUGCCAGCAGCCGCGGUAAUACAGAGGGUGCGAGCGUUAAUCGGAUUUACUGGGCGGAAAGCGUGCGUAGGCGGCUUCUUAAGUCGGAUGUGAAAAACCUGAGCUUAAAUUAGGAAUUGCAUUCGAUACUGGGAAGCUAGAGUAUGGGAGAGGAUGGUAGAAUUCCAGGUGUAGCGGUGAAAUGCGUAGAGAUCUGGAGGAAUACCGAUGGCGAAGGCAGCCAUCUGGCCUAAUACUGACGCUGAGGUACGAAAGCAUGGGGAGCAAACAGG
rnacentral:rRNA from 1 species